CCCUUAGAUGUUCUGGGCCGCACGCGCGCUACACUGACGAAUGCAACAAGUCUUAACCUUGGCCGAUAGGUCUGGGUAAUCUUUGAACGCUGUUCGUGAUUGGGAUAGACCUUUGCAAUUAUGGGUCUUCAACGAGGAAUUCCUAGUAAACGCAAGUCAUCAGCUUGCAUUGAUUACGUCCCUGCCCUUUGUACACACCGCCCGUCGCACCUACCGAUUGAAUGGUCCGGUGAAAUCUCGGGACGGCGGCUUGGUCGCUUGCGUCCGACUGCUGAAACUUGAUUAAACCAUAUCAUUUAGAGGAAGGUGAANUCGUANCA
rnacentral:rRNA from 1 species